rnacentral:rRNA from 1 species
GAAUAUUGGUCAAUGGGCGAAAGCCUGAUCCAGCCAUGCCGCGUGAGUGAAGACGGCCUUAGGGUUGUAAAGCUCUUUCGGCGGGGACGAUAAUGACGGUACCCGCCGAAGAAGCCCCGGCUAACUCCCUGCCAGCAGCCGCGGUAAUACGGAGGGGGCUAGCGUUGUGCGGAAUUACUGGGCGUAAAGCGCACGUAGGCGGGCUGUUAAGUCGGGGGUGAAAUCCUGGGGCUCAACCUCAGAAUUGCCUUCGAUACUGACAGUCUUGAGUACGAGAGAGGUGAGUGGAAUUCCCAGUGUAGAGGUGAAAUUCGUAGAUAUUGGGAAGAACACCAGUGGCGAAGGCGGCUCACUGGCUCGUAACUGACGCUGAGGUGCGAAAGCGUGGGGAGCAAACAGG